UAGUUGUUUAUAUAGUGAUUUAAAGCAAAAGUGUUAGGUAAAAACAGCUGUUAAAUAUAAAAAUGGUAAUAUUAUUUUGUUUACCCUGUUCAAAAUACUUUCCUCAACCUCUAAAAGUUAGGAGGGUAACUUUUCAUAAACCACUCAUUCAACCUCUAAAUAUUAAUAUAAAUAUUAUGCCACCAAACAGUAUAAAUAAGAGAGAUAUUGUUUUAACUAAGGUUAAA
rnacentral:misc_RNA from 1 species